rnacentral:tRNA from 3 species
GCACCAUUAGCUCAGCUGGUAGAGCACCUGACUCUUAAUCAGGGUGUCCUGGGUUCGAGUCCCCGAUGGUGCACCA